rnacentral:rRNA from 1 species
GUUGACCUCGGAUCAGGUAGGGAUACCCGCUGAACUUAGCAUAUCAAUA